rnacentral:rRNA from 1 species
UCGUUCAGUUACAUCAUUAUGGGCAUGGUGGUAACAGAGGGUUCGAUCAUAGCUCAGAUUGCAGACGCUGGCGGGAUACUUUACACAUGCAAGUCGAACGGCAGCACGGACUUCGGUCUGGUGGCGAGUGGCGAACGGGUGAGUAAUGUAUCCGGAACGUGUCUAGUAGCGGGGAUAACUACGCGAAGCGUAUGUCUACAUACGCCCUUCGAGGAAAGCGGGGACCUUCCCGGGCCUCGCACUAUUAGAGCGGCCGAUAUCGGAUUAGCUGGUUGGUGGGGUAACGGCUCACCAAGGCGACGAUCCGUAGCUGAACGAGGACGACCAGCCGCACUGGGACUGAGACACGACCCGGGCCUCCUGCAGAGGCAGCGGUGAAAUUUUUGGACAAUGGAAACCACAGUCCAGCCAUCCCGCGUGUGCGAUGAAGGCCUUCGGGUUGUAAAGCACUUUUGGCAGAAGAAACAGCCUGGGAUAAUGCGAUGCAACUGACGGUACCUGCAGAACAAGCACCGGCUAACUACGUGCCAGCAGCCGCGGUAAUACAUGAGUGCGAAAGCGUUAAUCAGAUUACUGGGCGUAAGCGUGCGCAGGCGGUUCGGAAAGAAGAUGUGAAAUCCAGAGCUUAACUUUGGAACUGCAUUUUUUUAACUACCGAGCUAGAGUGUGUCAGAGGGAGGUGGAAUUCCGCGUGUAGCAGUGAAAUGCGUAGAUAUGCGGAGGAACACCGAUGGCGAAGGCAACCUCCUGGGAUAACACUGACGCUCAUGCACAGCGUGGGGGAGCAAACGGGAUUAGAUACCCUGGUAGUCCACGCCCUAAACGAUGUCAACUAGCUGUUGGGGCCUUCGGGCCUUGGUAGCGCAGCUAACGCGUGAAGUUGACCGCCUGGGAAGUACGGUCGCAAGAUUAAAACUCAAAGGAAUUGACGGGGACCCGCACAAGCGGUGGAUGAUGUGGAUUAAUUCGAUGCAACGCGAAAAACCUUACCUACCCUCGACAUGUCUGGAAUCCCGAAGAGAUUUGGGAGUGCUCGCAAGAGAACCGGAACACAGGUGCUGCAUGGCUGUCGUCAGCUCGUGUCGUGAGAUGUUGGGUUAAGUCCCGCAACGAGCGCAACCCUUGUCAUUAGUUGCUACGAAAGAGGGCACUCUGUGAGACUGCCGGUGACAAACCGGAGGGAAGGUGAGGGAUGACGUCAGAGUCCUCAUAGCCCAUAUGGUGGGCUACACGUCACACAAUGGUCGGGACAGAGGGUCGCCAACCCGCGAGGGGAGCCAAUCCCAGAAACCCGAUCGUAGUCGGAUCGCAGUCUGCAGCUCGACUGCGUGAAAGUCGGAAUCGCUAGUAAUCGCGGAUCAGCAUGUCGCGGUGAAUACGUUCCCGGGUCUUGUACACACCGCCCGUCACACCAUGGGAGUGGGUUUUUUGCAGAAGUAGUUAGCCUAACCGUAAAGGGGCGAUUACCGCAUUAGGAUUAUGACUGGAGAUUGAGAGUCGUAACAAGGUAG